UAAUACAUAAGUAACCUGCCCUACACAGGGGGAGUAACUAUUGGAAACGAUAGCUAAGACCGCAUAGGUACGGACACUGCAUGGUGACCGUAUUAAAAGUGCCUCAAAGCACUGGUAGAGGAUGGACUUAUGGCGCAUUAGCUGGUUGGCGGGGUAACGGCCCACCAAGGCGACGAUGCGUAGCCGACCUGAGAGGGUGACCGGCCACACUGGGACUGAGACAUGGCCCAG
rnacentral:rRNA from 1 species